rnacentral:rRNA from 1 species
CCCAUCUGACCACCCGUGAAUCUUUGCUAACCCGUUUCUUAGUGAACCUGCGGAAGGAUCAUUAUCGAGUUAGGGUCUUUCAGGCCCGAUCUCCCAACCCUGUGUCUACCCGACCACUGUUGCUUCGGCGGGCCCGCCUCCCUGGAGGCCGCCGGGGGUGUCCUCCCUGAGAGGCCCUCUGGCCCGCGCCCGUCGACGGCCCCAACCACAAAACUCGUGAAUGAAACAUGCCAGUCUGAAUGUACAAAAGCAAAGCAAAAAACUUUCAACAACGGAUCUCUUGGUUCUGGCAUCGAUGAAGAACGCAGCGAAAUGCGAUAAGUAAUGCGAAUUGCAGAAUUCAGUGAGUCAUCGAAUCUUUGAACGCACAUUGCGCCCUUUGGUAUUCCGAAGGGCAUGCCUGUUCGAGCGUCAUUUCACACCCCUCAAGCGUCUGCUUGGUGUUGGACUCGUGGUCGCGGGGCGCCUGCCCACGCGCGACCGGUCCCGAAGACAAUGACGGCGUCCGGAGGACCCCCGGUACAAUGAGCUUUUGCGAGCACGUACCGGCGCGGGACCGCCUGGACACGGCCUCUUUGAUUUACCUAAAGGUUGACCUCGGAUCAGGUAGGAAUACCCGCUGAACUUAAGCAUAUCAAUAA